AUGCUCACUUCAGUAGCACGUAUACUAAGGCUGAAAAUUAGCAUGGCCCCAUGCACAAGGGUAACAUGCAAAUUUGUGAGGUGCUCCAAAUUUUA
rnacentral:snRNA from 1 species